rnacentral:rRNA from 1 species
GAUGAACGCUGGCGGCGUGCUUAACACAUGCAAGUCGAACGAAGCACCUUAGACAGAAGCCUUCGGGCGGAAGACUUUGGUGACUUAGUGGCGGACGGGUGAGUAACGCGUGGGUAACCUGCCCUGUACCGGGGGACAACAGUUGGAAACGACUGCUAAUACCGCAUAAGCGCACAGCAUCGCAUGAUGCAGUGUGAAAAACUCCGGUGGUACAGGAUGGACCCGCGUCUGAUUAGCUAGUUGGUGAGGUAACGGCUUACCAAGGCAACGAUCAGUAGACGACGUGAGAGAGUGGUCGGCCACAUUGGAACUGAGACACGGCCCAAACACCUACGGGAGGCAGCAGUGGGGAAUAUUGCACAAUGGGGGAAACCCUGAUGCAGCGACGCCGCGUGAAGGAAGAAGUAUUUCGGUAUGUAAACUUCUAUCAGCAAGGAAGAAAAUGACGGUACUUGACUAAGAAGCCCCGGCUAAAUACGUGCCAGCCGCCGCCGUAA